AGGACGAACGCUGGCGGCGUGCUUAAAACAUGCAAGUCGAACGGGGGAGCAAUCCCUAGUGGCGAACGGCGGAGUAAUACAUGAGGAACGUGCCCUGAAGACUGGGAUAGCCGUUGGAAACGACGAGUAAUACCAGAUGUGGCGGACUUUUGGCAUCAAGAGUCCACUAAACGGAUUUUCGCUUCAGGAGUGCCUCAUGGCCUAUCAGGUAGUUGGUGAGGUAAUGGCUCACCAAGCCGACGACGGGUAGCGGGUCUCAGAGGAUGAUCCGCUCGAGUGGGACUGAGACACGGCCCACACACCUACGGGUGGCAGCAGUUGGGAAUCUUGCACAAUGGGGGAAACCCUGAUGCAGCGACGCCGCGUGGAGGAUGAAGGGUCUAGGCCUGUAAACUCCUUUUAUGGGGAAAGACUUAGGACGGUACCCCAUGAAUAAGGACCGGCUAACUACGUGCCAGCAGCCGC
rnacentral:rRNA from 1 species